rnacentral:rRNA from 1 species
UUCGGGACGCUGGCGAGUGGCGAACGGGUGCGUAACGCGUGGAAACCUGCCCCGAGGUGUGGGACAACAGUUGGAAACGACUGCUAAUACCGCAUAAGCCUUACGAGGGAAAGGCGCAAGUCGCCUUGGGAGGGGUCCGCGUCGGAUUAGCUAGUUGGUGGGGUAAAGGCCUACCAAGGCGAUGAUCCGUAGCUGGUCUGAGAGGAUGAUCAGCCACACUGGGACUGAGACACGGCCCAGACUCCUACGGGAGGCAGCAGUGGGGAAUAUUGCGCAAUGGGAGAAAUCCUGACGCAGCGAUACCGCGUGGGUGAAGAAGGUCUUCGGAUUGUAAAGCCCUUUCAGCAGGAAAGAUGAUGACGGUACCUGCAGAAGAAGCCCCGGCUAACUCCGUGCCAGCAGCCGCGGUAAUACGGAGGGGGCGAGCGUUGUUCGGAAUGACUGGGCGUAAAGGGCGCGUAGGCUGCUCUGCAAG